AUGCACUUUUUUCUCAUCCGUAUCGACGCCGCCACCGUCAAGCCCCCGCGCCCCCGCAAUCCCCUCCUCUCUCUUCCUCGGCCAGGGUCGGCGGCCGCACCUUCGCCGUGGCCCCCGAUUCCCUUUGCCAUCGCUGGUCCUCCCCCUCCUUCGUCGCGGCCUCGGUCGACAUAGGAAAGAUCGCCCAAUACCAACGAAGCGGAAGGACAAAGCCGUCGUCAGUGUCGUGUUUUGCGGCUCGUCGUCGUUCAGAUUCGAGGUCUCAUGCUUCGAUCUGAUUUCUUACAUGAGCAAGUGAAGAGCCGUGAUUGCUGCAUGUGUCUGCACAGUUUAAGUGGAUUGGUAAAUUCUGGAACUGCAUUGGCUUCUCCACCGGCAAACAGUUGGAGAAACUACACAGAUCAGGAGGUUGUCUGCCAACCAAAUGUACGCUAAUGCUUGCCUGGCGAUCUGGAGAUGCAGACAGUUGUGGAUCGCACUUGCUUAAUCUGCAUGAAUUUCUGCUUCAAGUACCUAGGCAGGCAUCAGUGUAACAGCUACUCAGCUGAUUUGAAGCAAAUGGAUGCUUACAUUACAGGUCUUAUGCUUGCACAGUUACACAUUUCAAGUGAAGAGCACUGCAUACGUCUGCACAUUUCAAGUGGAUUGUAGAUGGACACAUCCUAUUCUACACGAGCAGAGGAACUUCUCAGCAUACCGGCUUCUUCAGCAGCAAACAACGGGAGAAACUACGCGAGCUACCAACUAAAUACACGCCAACAUACAGCUGAAAACAAUGUCUAUUCUUCGCUAAUGCUUGCCUGGCAAUCAGGAGACGCAGACAGAUUGUGGAUCACACAUUCUUAAUCUGCAUAUGGUUCUGCUUCAAGUACAUCGUCAGCCAUUACUGUAAGAGCUACUUAGCUGGUUUGAAGCAACGGAUGCUCUACAUCACAGGUA